CAAUGAAUCUAUAUACGCGUUCCUAAAUUCACUAACAUACCGAUGCAGACAUACUACUUUGUUUACCUAACAAGACCUGGCGGAACUCUUGCCCCACUUUUCAGCUCGAAAGUAGCAGUUUAGUAGUAUAUAGAAGUCUGUGGUAUCGACACGUAAUGCGCGCGGAAUGCGAUCGUGGAACAGGAGCGAGAAAUGUCCUGAACAAAUCGAAACUUCCGCGCUCUUGAAGGAUUGUGUCAACCUUAGGUUUCGAGUGGAACCGUCUGGUCCGCGUUACGCACAAAGAGCGCUCUCGUAACGUGUUUUUUUUCUUCCUCGAGCCGCCAGUAAACCGGAUGCGACAUUACCGCGCGUCACGAGUCAUAAAGGCACGAUUGCAACGGAGGAAAGUGUCGGAUGAAAAGAUGAUCGACAGCUGACGUCGUCACGAUGGAAGAGAAAGAACGAGGAAGAUCGAGCGAAAUGAGCGGAC